AGUGAACGCUGCGGUAGGCCUAACACAUGCAAGUCGAACGGCAGCACAGCAGUAGCAAUACUGUGGGUGGCGAGUGGCGGACGGGUGAGGAAUACAUCGGAAUCUACCUUUUCGUGGGGGAUAAUGUAGGGAAACUUACGCUAAUACCGCAUAAGACCUUCGGGUGAAAGUGGGGGACCUUCGGGCCUCACGCGGAUAGA
rnacentral:rRNA from 1 species